AUCACACUGGCAGGGCCUCCAACUGAUCCUUAGCAAUCCUUGGAUGUGGCAUUUAGGAAAGAAAUGAUGAUCACAAAUGAAGAAACUUUGCGUAAUUUUGCAGAAGAUUUGGAAUGCCAUGAAGGGUUAUGGAGGCGUGAGCUCACCAGAACACAGCCCUCCCAUUUUCCGUUUUGUCGUGUCUAACCCAGCCUCCCCCCGCCGUGCUCCUGUAUGAAGUAAUGGGAUGCUAGAGAAGACGCUGCCUUUGAUGUCUGGAAGCAGAUGGGCAGAGGAGGAGAGCUGCGUGCUGACAGGUAUCUCUCGUCCUGUCUGAAGUCCAGAGGGACACACUGAAGGAGACUGCGCUGAUUGUUCUGGCAAGUGUAUUGACUCCUAACCUCACUUCACCUGAAAUUAAACCCUGCCAACGAGACAUUUAGACGCUGAUGUUAGCCAAAUUAGCCUCCUACAGACACUGGCGCUCAUUUAUGGCCUUUCUGCUGAUUAUAAUUUCCCCCACUGCCUUCACUCACGUAUGCCCAUUUGUCACGGAUUUGCUUCUCGUAUGGUUUGGCAUUCACGUCCAGGAGUUUCCUUGAGUCUGAAAUAAAAAAAGUUUCUUCCCC